rnacentral:lncRNA from 1 species
AUUUUAUUUUAAUUUUUUGGAUGAAAUUUUUAUCUAUUAUAUAUUAAACAUUCUUGCUGCUGCGCUGCAAAACCAUAGCAGAUUUGAGGCACUGUUGAGGACUGAAUUAUUCUCCAAGUUGAGAGAUGUCCUUGGGUUAAAUUAAAAGCCCUACCUAAAACUGAGGUGGGGAUGGGGAGAGGCUUUGCCUCCACCAUUCCCACCCCACCCUCCCCUUAAACCCUCUGCCUUUGAAAGCAGGUCAUGUUCACUGCGAUGCUGGACACUACAGGUAUCUGUCCCUGGGCCAGCAGGGACCUCUGAAGCCUUCUUUGUGGCCUUAUUUUUUUUUUUUUUUUUUUCAUCCUGUGGUUUUUCUAACGGACUUUCAGGAAUUUUGUAAUCUCAUAACUUUCCAAGCUCCACCACUUCCUAAAUCUUAAGAACUUUAAUUGACAGUUUCAAUUGAAGGUGCUGUUUGUAGACUUAACACCCAGUGAAAGCCCAGCCAUCAUG